rnacentral:rRNA from 1 species
AGUGAACGCUGGCGGUAGGCCUAACACAUGCAAGUCGAACGGCAGCACAGUAAGAGCUUGCUCUUACGGGUGGCGAGUGGCGGACGGGUGAGGAAUACAUCGGAAUCUACUUUUUCGUGGGGGAUAACGUAGGGAAACUUACGCUAAUACCGCAUACGACCUACGGGUGAAAGCAGGGGAUCUUCGGACCUUGCGCGAUUGAAUGAGCCGAUGUCGGAUUAGCUAGUUGGCGGGGUAAAGGCCCACCAAGGCGACGAUCCGUAGCUGGUCUGAGAGGAUGAUCAGCCACACUGGAACUGAGACACGGUCCAGACUCCUACGGGAGGCAGCAGUGGGGAAUAUUGGACAAUGGGCGCAAGCCUGAUCCAGCCAUACCGCGUGGGUGAAGAAGGCCUUCGGGUUGUAAAGCCCUUUUGUUGGGAAAGAAAAGCAGCAGGUUAAUACCCCGCUGUUCUGACGGUACCCAAGGAAUAAGCACCAGCUAACUUCGUG